AGUAAUUUUUGUAUUAAGUGCGCGAAAUGAGUGUUUUUUUAAUGGCGCCUGAGAAUGUUAUUUUAGUCGAGACCGCCAGGUCGAGACCUAAAAGACAUUCGAAGGCGCCAUUAAAACAUGAAUUUCGCCACGAAAUACAAACAACGUUUUUUCUACAGCCUCCAGAUGAAGAAAAAAGUAACAGAAAUUAGUUGGAACAAAAUGGUCUGAUAAAUCGAGUUGCUUGCAUGGUUACGAUGAUAAAUAAAAGUGAUAGUUGCGAAAAAUUUGUCACAAUAGGUAUUUUUGUUGAAGAAGUGUGAUGGAUUUUAGCAGCGAAAACGAAAUAGAUGCAAUUGCAAGCGCGGCAGUGUCGAAUCUUUUGCCUGCUAAAUCAAGACCGCAGUACGAAAAAACGUAUCUUCAGUUUCGGCAGUGGUGUUCUAUGAAAAAGAUUGAUCAAGUAACGGAAAAUGUUUUGUUGGCGUAUUUGGAAGAAAAGUCUACCACCUUAAAGCCACCAACACUCUGGGCCCUUUAUGCGAUGUUGAAAGCCACCUUAAACGUUAAAGAGAAUAUCGAUACACAAGCAAGAAGUCGCAAAUUUUAGACAAAGAAGACAUUAGCAAGUUUAUUAAUGAAGCAGAUGACAAGAUAUAUUUACUGAUGAAGACUGUGCUAAUUUUGGGUAUAUCGGGAGCCCUUCGACGUGAAGAAUUAGUUAAAAUGAAGCUAACUGACAUAGAAGAUAAACAGUCUGUCUUAAUUGUGAAGGUGCCUGAUACAAAAACCCACUGCGAACGAAUAUUUACUGUUUCAAAUUUAGAAAAUAUAGAAAUUGUCAGAAAAUAUAGAGCUUUGCGGCCUCCACGGGCGACUAGUGACCGUUUAUUUUUAAAGUAUACCAACGGAAAAUGUGUGAAUCAAAAUGUUGGAAUUAACAAAAUCGGAGAGAUACCAAGUUUGAUUGCAAAGUGGCUUAACAAAGACGAACCUAAAAAAUAUACUGGUCACUGCUUCAGAAGAAGCUCUGCCACUCUUUUGGCGAAUGCUGGAGGUGAUCUAAUUUCAAUUAAACGUCAUGGGGGCUGGAGAAGCAGCACAGUGGCAGAAAGUUACAUCGAGGACUCUUUGAAUAAUAAAAUUGAAAUUGCCAAUAAAAUUCAACCUUCUUCCUCCACAGAAGAAAACAAAAUCACUCAACCUUCUACAUCGGCUUCUUUUAAUGGCGAAAAUAACUUUCAUUUACAAGCGUCUUCAUUCAGGCCUCUGGGGAUAAACGGGGGCACGUUUUCGUCAUGCACAUUUAAUUUUCAUAUGUCAAAGUAAAUAUCUAUUAUUAUUGUUUUGUAAUAUUGUUCUGUAUAAUUAUAAAACCUUUAAAACUA